AGGGCGCACGGUGAAUGCCUUGGCACUGGAAGCCGAUGAAGGACGCGACUAACCGCGAAAGUCUUCGGGGAGCCGUAAGUAGGCUUUGAUCCGGAGGUCUCCGAAUGGGGGAACCCAGCAUGUGCAGACAUGCUAUCCUUAAGUGAAUACAUAGCUUAAGGAGGGAACACGCAGUGAACUGAAACAUCUAAGUAGCUGCAGGAAGAGAAAGAAAUAUCGAUUUCCCAAGUAGCGGCGAGCGAACAGGAAAGAGCCCAAACCGCAGAUUUAUCUGCCGGGGUUGUAGGACUGAGACAUGGCACUUCAGAGGAUAGCAGAAGCGUUUGGGAAAGCGCGCCAGAGAGGGUGAGAGCCCCGUAAGCGAAAUCCAAAGAAGGCCUAUCAGUAUCCUGAGUAGGGCGGGACACGUGAAAUCCCGUUUGAAUCCGCGAGGACCAUCUCGCAAGGCUAAAUACUAACCAGUGACCGAUAGUGAACCAGUACCGUGAGGGAAAGGUGAAAAGAACCCCGGGAGGGGAGUGAAAGAGAACCUGAAACCGUGUGCCUACAAGUAGUCAGAGCCCGUUAACGGGUAAUGGCGUGCCUUUUGUAGAAUGAACCGGCGAGUUGCGUUAGUCAGCAAGGUUAAGUCAGAAAAGACGGAGCCGUAGCGAAAGCGAGUCUGAAGAGGGCGAGCAGUUGGCUGACGCAGACCCGAAACCAAGUGACCUACCCAUGACCAGGUUGAAGGCGCGGUAAAACGCGCUGGAGGACCGAACCCACGUAAGUUGAAAAUUGCGGGGAUGAGUUGUGGGUAGCGGUGAAAUUCCAAACGAACUUGGAGAUAGCUGGUUCUCUCCGAAAUAGCUUUAGGGCUAGCCUCGCAAAGAGGAUGCUGGAGGUAGAGCUCUGUUUGGACUAGGGGCCCGUCAAGGGUUACUGAAUUCAGAUAAACUACGAAUUCCAGACAUUUAUGUGCGGGAGUCAGACUGCGAGUGAUAAGAUCCGUAGUCGAAAGGGAAACAGCCCAGAUCACCAGUUAAGGUCCCAAAAUUCAUGCUAAGUGGAAAAGGAUGUGGAGUUGCGCAGACAACUAGGACGUUGGCUCAGAAGCAGCCAUCAUUCAAAGAGUGCGUAAUAGCUCACUAGUCGAGUGACGCCGCGCCGAAAAUUUACCGGGGCUAAGCAUGAUACCGAAACUGUGGAUGUGCAUUUAUGCACGUGGUAGGAGAGCGUUCUAGCGGCGGUGAAGCAUGACCGAGAGGACAUGUGGAGCUUCUAGAAGUGAGAAUGCCGGUAUGAGUAACGAAAGACAGGUGAGAAUCCUGUCCGCCGCAAGACUAAGGUUUCCUGGGGCAGGCUCGUCCGCCCAGGGUAAGUCGGGACCUAAGGCGAGGCCGAGAGGCGUAGUCGAUGGACAACAGGUUGAAAUUCCUGUACUGCACCGAAUCGUUAUGAGCGAUGGAGGGACGCAGGAGGCUAGCAGCGCGUGGUGCUGGAUACCACGUUCAAGCGUCAAGUCUGAGAGCGAGUCAAAUGCUUGCUCUCAUAAGGACAAGGCGUGAUGAGGAGCGAAAUUAAAGUAGCGAAGGCUGCGACGUCACACUGCCGAGAAAAGCUUCUAGCCAGAGACGGUGCACCCGUACCGCAAACCGACACAGGUAGUCGAGGAGAGUAUCCUCAGGUGAGCGAGAGAACUCUCGUUAAGGAACUCGGCAAAAUGGCCCCGUAACUUCGGGAGAAGGGGCGCUGGUCGCAAGAUCAGCCGCAGUGAAAAGGCCCAAGCAACUGUUUAUCAAAAACACAGGCAUCUGCAAAAUCGUAAGAUGAAGUAUAGGUGCUGACACCUGCCCGGUGCUGGAAGGUUAAGAGGAGAGCUUAGCGCAAGCGAAGGUUUGAAUUGAAGCCCCAGUAAACGGCGGCCGUAACUAUAACGGUCCUAAGGUAGCGAAAUUCCUUGUCGGGUAAGUUCCGACCUGCACGAAAGGUGUAAUGAUUUGGGCACUGUCUCAACGAGAGACUCGGUGAAAUUAUAAUACCCGUGAAGAUGCGGGUUACCCGCGACAGGACGGAAAGACCCCAUGGAGCUUUACUGCAGUUUAAUAUUGGGUAUCUGUCAAGCAUGUACAGGAUAGGUAGGAGCCGGAGAAGAUAGGACGCCAGUCUUAUCUGAGGCGCUGUUGGGAUACUACCCUUGCUUGACGGAUGCUCUAACUCAGGCCUGUGAUCCAGGCCGAGGACAGUGUUUGACGGGCAGUUUGACUGGGGCGGUCGCCUCCUAAAGUGUAACGGAGGCGCCCAAAGGUUCCCUCAGAAUGGUUGGAAAUCAUUCGCAGAGUGUAAAGGUAAAAGGGAGCUUGACUGCGAGAGAGACAACUCGAGCAGGUACGAAAGUAGGGCUUAGUGAUCUGGUGGUACCGCAUGGAAGGGCCAUCACUCAACGGAUAAAAGCUACCCUGGGGAUAACAGGCUUAUCUCCCCCAAGAGUUCACAUCGACGGAGGUUUGGCACCUCGAUGUCGGCUCGUCGCAUCCUGGGGCUGAAGUCGGUCCCAAGGGUUGGGCUGUUCGCCCAUUAAAGCGGCACGCGAGCUGGGUUCAGAACGUCGUGAGACAGUUCGGUCCCUAUCCGUCGUGGGCGCAGGAAAUUUGAGAGGAGCUGUCCUUAGUACGAGAGGACCGGGAUGGACGCACCGCUGGUGUACCAGUUGUCUUGCCAAAGGCAUCGCUGGGUAGCUAUGUGCGGACGGGAUAAGCGCUGAAAGCAUCUAAGUGCGAAGCCCCCCUCAAGAUGAGAUUUCCCAUUUCU
rnacentral:rRNA from 1 species